rnacentral:rRNA from 1 species
AUUGAACGCUGGCGGCAUGCUUUACACAUGCAAGUCGAACGGCAGCGCGGGCUUCGGCCUGGCGGCGAGUGGCGAACGGGUGAGUAAUGCAUCGGAACGUGCCCAGUAGUGGGGGAUAGCCCGGCGAAAGCCGGAUUAAUACCGCAUACGACCUGAGGGUGAAAGCGGGGGACCGAAAGGCCUCGCGCUAUGGGAGCGGCUGAUGUCGGAUUAGCUAGUUGGUGGGGUAAAGGCUUACCAAGGCGACGAUCCGUAGCUGGUCUGAGAGGACGACCAGCCACACUGGGAGUGAGACACGGCCCAGACUCCUACGGGAGGCAGCAGUGGGGAAUUUUGGACAAUGGGGGCAACCCUGAUCCAGCCAUGCCGCGUGCGGGAAGAAGGCCUUCGGGUUGUAAACCGCUUUUGUUCGGGAAGAAAUCCUCUGGGCUAAUACCCCGGGGGGAUGACGGUACCGGAAGAAUAAGCACCGGCUAACUACGUG